ensembl:lncRNA
GCCCUUCACAGCCUCCCGGCAGCCUUCCACAGCCGAAUUUCACCUCGUGUCACACACAUCAUAUAAAAAAAAUAUAUAUAUACAUAUAUGCCAUAUAUAUAUAUAUAUAUGAUAUAGGUGGGAAAGAUUGCCCCCAGGCCGGGGAUUUGUUGGGGUAUGGAGGCCCUGACAUCCCGACAGGCCGGGAUGGCUGUGAGAAGGCCGGCCUGAAAAAAAGAGGCGGGAAACCCUCACUCAAUCCCUGGUGUCUAGAAAAAAGUCACUUUUUCAAACUCAGUGCUUCUGCCCCAAUGGCUUCAGGCUGUCAGAGGACAGCGGGUGCCCUGUGAGGGGACUGGUGCUACGCUGUCAGCCACGAGCCACUCCUGAGGGGGAUUUAAGGCUGGUCUUGUGUCCUUACAAGCCUUUCUGUGCCACAAAGCUGGAGGAUUUAGAUCCAUUAUGUUGUUUUUAUUGGGUUUUUUAAAUUACAAACCUGGCACCUCUUCUAGUUCCCAUUUACAGGGUUUUCAAUUCCCAUUUGCAGAGACAUCUCAUCCCAGGAGCUCCAGGGCAAACUCCCUCUCCACCAGCGCAGGGACAAUGUUGCCAGGCAAGAAGAGACAGCAGAGCAAACACUCCAGCCCACCCCAUUGUCAGCUGCUGUGCUGGAUUAAACAAGACCAGAAUUCACUCCCCUUAUUGCAGCUUGUGAAGACAUUUAGUGUCCUUGACCAUAGAACACUAGGAAAGUGCUGCUGUGGCAUUUUGUACUGCCCUGUGCAUGGGAGGGAGCAUAAAGCAGAGUUUUAUGGAAGCAAGAACAUGUGAGCUCUGUUCCAGCCCUGUUCAGGCCCUUUGGAGUCUUCUCUGCUGCCGUGGGCUCCUGCUUUGGAACUCCUGGACAAUUCUAAACCCCACACAAAUGGUCUCACACCAGAA